rnacentral:rRNA from 1 species
CUACGGGGGGCAGCAGUGAGGAAUUUUGCGCAAUGGGGGAAACCCUGACGCAGCAACGCCGCGUGAGCGAAGAAGGCCCUCGGGUCGUAAAGCUCUGUCAAGUGGGAAAAAAGCCUUUUGAUUAAUACCCAAAAGGUUUGAUGGUACCACUGGAGGAAGCACCGGCUAACUCCGUGCCAGCAGCCGCGGUAAUACGGAGGGUGCAAGCGUUGUUCGGAAUUACGGGGCGUAAAGGGCGUGCAGGCGGUUUGGCAAGUCAGAUGUGAAAGCCCUGGGCUUAACCCGGGAAGUGCAUUUGAAACUGCCUUUCUUGAGUAUGGGAGAGGAGAGUGGAAUUCCCAGUGUAGAGGUGAAAUUCGUAGAUAUUGGGAGGAACACCCGUGGCGAAGGCGACUCUCUGGACCAAUACUGACGCUGAGACGCGAAAGCGUGGGGAGCAAACAGGAUUAGAUACCCCAGUAGUC